rnacentral:rRNA from 1 species
GGGAGGGGAGUAGAGUGGCGCACGGGUGAGUAACACGUAGGUAAUUUGCCUUUGGGUGGGGAAUAACAGUCGGAAACGACUGCUAAUACCGCAUAAUGCAGCGGCUCGACAUCGAGACAGUUGUUAAAGCGGGGGAUCGCAAGACCUCGCGCCUAAAGAGAAGCCUGCGGCAGAUUAGCUAGUUGGUAGGGUAAUGGCCUACCAAGGCGACGAUCUGUAACCGGCCUGAGAGGGCGGUCGGUCACACUGACACUGACAUACGGGUCAGACUCCUACGGGAGGCAGCAGUCGGGAAUUUUGGGCAAUGGGCGAAAGCCUGACCCAGCAACGCCGCGUGAAGGAUGAAAUCCCUCGGGAUGUAAACUUCGCAAGAACAGGAAGAAUAAGUAGAAGAUAAUACCUUCUAUGAUGACGGUACUGUUUGUAAGCUCCGGCUAACUUCGUGCCAGCAGCCGCGGUAAUACGAGGGGAGCAAGCGUUGUUCGGAUUUACUGGGCGUAAAGGGCGCGUAGGCGGUCGUGACAAGUCACUUGUGAAAUCUCCGGGCUUAACUCGGAACGGUCAAGUGAUACUGUCGGACUAGAGUACAGAAGGGGCAACUGGAAUUCUCGGUGUAGCGGUGAAAUGCGUAGAUAUCGAGAGGAACACCUGCGGCGAAGGCGGGUUGCUGGGCUGAUACUGACGCUGAGGCGCGAAAGCCAGGGGAGC